rfam:Oryza sativa (indica cultivar-group) chromosome 4, whole genome shotgun sequence.
AAUAAAUAUAGUUUUGUAUUGUUUAUAUCAAACAUUUGACCGUUCAUCUUAUUUGAUUUUUUUUAUGAUUAGUAAUUUUUAUUAGAUGAUAAAAUAUAAAUAAUUCUUUAUGUGUGACUAAUUAUUUUAAAUUAUUUUAUAAUUUUUUUAAAUAAAACGAACAGUUAAACGUUGGACACGGAUAUGCACAGCUACACUUAUU